UUGCUCUGUUUUUUCGAGAAAGGGAGUAUAUUAAUAUCGCUAAGAUAUCAAUUACACCUGGCCUCUAUACCAUCAAAAUGUUCAGAAACGGGAAGGAUACACGCAGCUAAAAAAAAGAAAAAAAAACCUCGCCACGAUGAUCAGUCACUAGCAACAACAUCACUCUAACCACCACCAACGAUAACACCCGGCUUACAAAAAAGGUUAUCCAAAAGCAACGCCUUCAAGAAGGAAACAAUGAGCCAGCAUUAUCGUUACCUGAUCGAAGAUCUUGAGUUUUCACCCUGGAGAAAGUCCGAGUUCAGCCAAAAACAAUGUGUUCGACAAGGCCAUUGUUAGGUACAACCAAUGAAGACCGGACCUUUGGUUUUCCCCUGUGAAUUGAGACUCGGUACUUGAGGAGCACCAUCAAAAUUGCAGUCCUCCAGCGCUGCCAUCAUCGUUUGCCGAGACCGCUGUUGCAAGUCACCAAACACCUAGCACACAGACUUCAGCGCAUCCAGUACACCUUUCCGCCAAACGCUUCAAGACCUCCAAUCGCAGCCGCCGUGACUUUCUCCACCUCUAUCAGUGCCUUGAGAAUUUUGACUUAGACAUGUCCCAUGAAUCUGAUAAGAAAGUGAAGCUUCGCGUCACGCCUUUUUGAAGCCGUGCUUGCUGAUAAUAUGAGCGCGCACGACCGGAGCCUUUCCGAUCUAGAAAUUCAGGGGCGGCAUAGGCCAAUCCAUAUAGUUCUCUGACACUGGAACGCGUCCGCAGCCAGAUCGAAGAGGUCAACGUCCGGCAGAAAGACGCCAUGGCUGACGAAGAUUGCUAGGGCCGCCUCCCCAGAUCCAGAAAACCAUGCUCACCCGCCUUCGAAGAAAACGAGCAGCUCCACAUGAGGCCGGUCGCUACAGCCACCACACCGAGCACCACUCCGAAACCCCACCCUUACAGACCCCAUGGCCCCAAUCCCUGGAUCUGGCCAUUCCCCACGAGGAACGACUCACCGGACGGGGUAGUAACAAGCAGUGGCUACGCAUGCACUCCGUGCCGGCUGGCGGCAGGAGGCAAGGCCCCAAUCCGCGGGACGUCGCCAGGAUGAGAUCUAGCGGCGGCGACCUUCACGACUCGAGCCACCGGGAACAAAGCGGACAAGCAGAGGGAGGAAGGGCGGGGAGGGAAGGAGCAGGAGGUGGAGGAACUCCCGCCGCCGCCGUGGGCCGGCCAGAGGCCACCGGCGACGACGGCGAGGGAAGGUGAGGAUGGAGGCGGCGCUCGGGAGGAAAACCUGAUCGCCCCGCGAGUCCAAGUGCAAAGGGCUCCAACUUGCUUUGCUGCAUCAUUAACACAUAUCCGUUGAAAAUUAAAGGAUAAAGUUAUACGGUUCCAGUCUGAAAUUAAAGGUAUGGUUCACGGUUUAUGUGAAAAUUUAUUCACCUCUGAAUCUGGUUUGUUUGCUAAUGCUAUUCUCGGAGCCAUACCUCGUAAGUUUUGGAUGAAAUGAAUGAAGAUCUUUGCAAACUUACACUAAUGAGGAAAUCAAGAUGGCUUUAUUUCAAAUGGGACCAACCAAAGCUCCAGGACCGGAUAGUUUGCCUGCCCUGUUUUAUCAAACCCAUUGGAGCUUUUUGGAUGAUGAUAUUUUCCAUGCCGUGCGAAGUUUUUUGGAGGGAGGGCCUAUCCCAGAGGGAUUUUGUGAUUCGGUGAUUGUCGUGAUUCCAAAGAUUGCCAGACCGAAACAUUUGAAGAAUUUUCGUCCUAUCAGUUUGUGCAUAGUCUUGUAAAAGAUUGCUUCCAAAAUUUUAGCCAACCGCCUGAAGGUGAUUCUUGGUAUUGUGGUAUCUGAAUUCCAAAGUGCUUUUGUGCCAGGUAGACUGAUUACUGACAAUACUUGGAUUGUUUAUGAGUGUGUGCGCACUUUUAGAAAACGACAUUCGAAGCAACCUUUCUUUGCCUUGAAGAUUGACAUGAUGAAAGCCUAUGAUCGUGUGGAAUGGACUUAUCUUCAUGGUUGUUUAAGCACGCUUGGCUUUGCUCCUAUUUGGAUUGAAUCUAUCAUGAGAUGCGUAACCAAGGUCCGGUAUGCUGUUAGAGUUAAUGCUGAACUUACCGAUCCCGUUGUUCCUUCAAGGGGCAUCCGUCAGGGGGACCCCAUCAGUCCCUACUUGUUUCUUUUGUGCACCGAAGGCUUGUCGAGUUUGUUACUACAGAAGGAGACUUGUGGCGAGCUACAUGGUAUUCAAAAUGGCCGCUCUGGUCCACUUAUCUCACAUCUUCUGUUUGCCGAUGACAACAUUUUCUUUGCCAAAAGUGGCAAUCGUAGUGUGGCUACUUUGGAAUCUACUCUGCAUUUAUAUUGUGAAGGAUCGGGGCAACUUAUUAAUAACAAGUCCUCAAUCUUUUUUGAGAAGCAUUGUCUUGAUGUUGUGAAACAUCGUGUUAUGGCCAUGCUGGGUAUCAAUAAUGAAACUUUUCAUGACUCAUAUCUUGGAAUGCUUACUGAGUGGAGCGGUCUCCUAUCAACAUUGUCAAAUUCCUUCCUGAUAGAGCAUUUUCAAAUUCCUAUCAACAUUGGCUCGUAUUGGGCCAGCCAGUAGCACAACACCAGAGGGCGAGACGGAACAAAUAGGGUUGACGCUUGCACAAAUGCUAAUUCUUCUCAUUGUUAGCAUAAGCCCAUGCUCUUCUACAAGGCACUCCAACAUGUGGUGGCCGAAAAGCCGGUAGCAGUCCAUUUUUUGUUUUUGUUUUUUUGGAUUUGAUUUUUAUUGCACAUUUUUUCUUUUUCUUCAUAGCCGAUUUUUGUCAGGUUUCUAAGCUCUUUUUUUGGUUCAACUUUCUUUGUUUUCCCCAUAUUUCCUAUUCCAUAUUAAUUUUAUGUUAAUUUUUAUUUUCUAUUGACCGUCUCCUUUUAAUGGAAACUAUAAAAAUAUUCUUAAUAAAACACACAAGUAUUUUUAACACGAGGGAACACUAUUUUAAAUUGGAUGAUUUUUACAGAUGCAUUUUAUAAAUAUAAUUACAAUAAGUGAAAACAAUUAAGUACAUGAAUUUAUAUGAAAUGGGUCCAUAUUUGUUCAAUUACAUGAACAUAUUUUCAGGUACAUGAAUAAUUUAUACAAAUGCAUCAACACAUUUUAAAUUACUAAAAAAUAGAUAAUAGGUGUGAACACUUUCUUAAAUGACUUGAAUAUUUUAAUAAACAUAUAUUGACAGUUUUAUUUACCUAAACAUUCUAGAAAAUAAAUGAAUAAAAUUUAAAAUUACAUGAUCAUUUUGGGAAAUAUGAUUCAAAAAUGAAAUGAACAAUUGAAAAAAGCACAUGAAGAAUUUGAAAAAUACAUGAACAGUUUCUUCCACUACAUUAUAUUUUUUUCUAAUAUGUGAGAAUAUUUUAUAAGAUAAUUUUUUAUUUUUUAAUUCCAAAAAAUAAAAAGUAAAAAAGACCCUUUGUUUUUCUUUGCCACGCCUAUUUGCAUCCAUGUAAGCCGUUGUGACAAACGCCCACUUACGAGGGGAUAUAUAGAUGUACCCUUGCUUCUGUUUUAUCCUUAUGCAAGUAGUAGGCAAAUCCGCGGUCAGUGCAUUAUGAAAAUGUGCAUAAUUGGAAGAAAAUCGAUAGGAACCUACAAAAUGGGAACUCGAUAAGAACUACAGGAAACAAGAGAAAGAGAAAAUAGGCAAGAAACUGAUGGCUGCAGUGUGUUCCAUUGCCCAAAAACAGAAACAAAAAUAACUAAAUAUCUGGUCAAUAGUGAUGGGGUCUUUCUUUUACCCUUUCGCUUGGAACAAUGAUGAAUCCUACUCGCUGCUCAUUUUGGCAGAUUAUCGGCUGCUCACACAGGUGAUGGCCCCGAGUGACAAAGAGAUGGGCUAGUCCACUUUGAGAAUUUAUACAAUGCGAGCCAACCGGUUUUGCUAGAAGGCUCCCUGAAUUGAUGUUCUUUUUUCUUUUUGUCUUCUUUACUUGUUUUUUAGUUUUCAGUUUUUAAGUUUUUUUUCUUUCAAAUUUUCAAAAAUGAUUUCAGAAAAAAAAUCAAAAUAUUUAAUUUUUUGGCCAAAUUUCAAAGAAUUAUCGUUUUAAAAAACCAUUUCUUUAAAAAAUAUUCUUUUUUACAAAAUAUGUCCGGAAUUUCAAAAAAUAUUGGCCUUUUUUUCUCAAUAUUUCAUAAAAUCUUAGCAUUUCUUGAAUAAUUUUGAGAAUUUGUUUUUUUUUCAAAAAAGGAUUUUUCUAAAAAAAGUAUCCUUUUGUCUAAAAGAUGUUAGAAACUUUACAAAUUAUUCUCAUUUAAAAAAUAUUUAAAUUUUCUAAAAAUGUUCGUGGUUCCAAGAAAGUUUUCAAAACAAUAUUCACUUGUUAAAUAUAUUUUUCAAUGUUCUUUGGAAAAAAUCAAGGGAAUAAAAGAUGGUACAGUACCAAAUUGGUUGUAGUAACCACAUACUCGCGCUACAGUACCCCCGACCAGAAACAGUAAACGUGUGGCUAGGGAUCAAACGUUUAAAAUCUGACAUUAUAUUUUUUAGCAUGGCAAAUCAAACUUUUUAUGGCAAAUGAAGUUGCCGUGUGGAUAGCAAUUUUCUGUAGCAAAUCCUGGCAAAAACUGAGCAUGGCAAAAUAAAUUUCCAUCCUUGCGACAACUUUAUUUGUCGCAAAAAAUGUUUGAUUUGCCAUGCUAAAAAAUCUGGUUCGAUUUGAAGCGGAAUACUUUUUUUUAAGCAUCAGAUGUCUAUGGAGAGUCUUUUGGCAUUUUACCGAUAUUAAUAAAUAUACGGGUCACAUAUGACAUUAUUCCAAGAUAUACAUUCGUAUCGAUAGUAGGCACGCUCUUCGUUUGGUUUCACCAGCUUAAUCACAAUCUCAGAAGGCAGCAUAUGGAGUACUACCUCUAUUUAUUUUUAUAAGACGUUUUAGACUUUCAAACACUGUUUAAAAACAGCACAAAGCAAGUUGUCUGAACGUCUUAUAAAAACAAACGGAGGGAGUAGAAUAAUAUCGCCAUGGCAUGGCACAAGAUGGAGAUCACGAGAUAUCUUAAGAAAACCCUGCUAAUCAGAGCAACAGUACAAAGGUUAACUUUAUGCGCCCGAUUCUAGGAAAUGGGGCACAUGCCCACGAUCAGGACGUAUGAUUCUGCUGCACCAACAAUUAUUGGCCUUAUAUAGUUCGGCGAGCGUUCGAGUAUGAUUGUUGUACUGGUACGUACUCUCUGGGUUGGUUUGCAAUUUUUUACAUUUUGGAAAAUGGGUUCCAAUUUCAACUUGCUGUGCUUUUUCGAGAAAAUGAAUAGAUUAAUAUCAUGAAGAUAUCAAUUACACCCGGUCUUUGUAUCAACAAGAUGCCCAAAAACAUCAAGAAUACACACAACCAAAAAAGAAAAUAAAGAAGAAGAAGAAGAAGAAGAAGAAAGCCCCGUCAUAAUGAUCAGUCACUAGCAACAACAACACUCUAACCACCACCAAAGACAACACCUGGCUUACAAAAGAGGUUAUCCAAAAACAACGCCUCCAAGAAGAAAACAAUGCACCAGCAUUAUCGUUACCUAAUCAAAGAUCUUGAGUUUUCACUCUGGAGAAAGUCCGAGUUCACCCAAAACCAAUGUUUUGACAAAGCCAUUGCCAGGUAUAACCAAUGAAGGCGGACCUUAGGUUUUCACCCUGUGAAUCGAGACUCGGUACUUGAGGAGCACCACCAAAAUUGUAGUCCUCCAGUGCUGCCACCUUCGUUUGCCAAGACCGUUGUUGCAAGUCACCAAACACCUAGCGCACAAUCUUCACCGCAUCCAGUACACCUUUCCGCCAAGCUUCAAGACCUCCAAUUGCACCCGCCAUGACUUUCUUCACCUCUAUCAAUGCCUUGAGAAUCUUGACUUAGACAUAUCCCAUGACUCUAAUAAGAAAGCGAAGCUUCGUGUCGCAGCCUUUUGAAGUCGUGCUAGCUGAUAAUAUGAGUGCACAUGACCGGAGCCUUUCCGAUCUAGAAAUUCGGUGGUGACAUACGCCAAUCCAUAUAGAUCUUUGACGGGGAAGAUCGGAACGCGUCUGCAGCCAGAUCGAAGAGGUCAACGUCUGGCAGAAAGACGCCAUGGCAGACGAAGAUUGCUAGGGCCGCCGCCCCAGAUCUAGAGAACCACGC
rnacentral:lncRNA from 1 species